rnacentral:rRNA from 1 species
UACCAGCUCUCCGAGUUGUAGGGAUGUUUAUUGGGCCUAAAGCAUCCGUAGCCGGCUGGACAAGUCCCCUGUUAAAUCCAGCGACCAAUCGUUGGUCUGCGGGGGAUACUGUCCGGCUAGGGGGCGGGAGAGGCCGUCGGUAUUCCUGGGGUAGGGGUGAAAUCCUAUAAUCCCAGGAGGACCACCAGUGGCGAAGGCUGUCGGCUAGAACGCGCCCGACGGUGAGGGAUGAAAGCUGGGGGAGCGAACCGG